rnacentral:SRP_RNA from 1 species
GCGGCAGGUAGGGCCGGGGAGCUAGCCCUUCCCUGUAACCCGAAAUGGGCUACAUGCGGGGGCCAGUAACCCGGGAGGGAGCUUGAGGGAGGAAGCACAGCGGCGGAACAAAGGGAGAUGAACGCGCGCCCACACAGGGCUCCGCAGGGAGCUGACCCAUCCGUAGGGAUGGGCAACAGCUCUCGAACACGCCGAACCGCGUCAGGCCCGGGAGGGAGCAGCGCUAAGGCGUGGCGGGGCCGCUGUGUGGAUCCGUGCUGGAUCCCUUGUCCGCCGCCUCGGCUUCUUUCCCUCUCGCCACCUCCCGGGGGCUGCCGC